AGAGUUUGAUCCUGGCUCAGGACGAACGCUGGCGGCGUGCCUAAUACAUGCAAGUAGAACGCUGAAGAGAGGAGCUUGCUCUUCUUGGAUGAGUUGCGAACGGGUGAGUAACGCGUAGGUAACCUGCCUUGUAGCGGGGGAUAACUAUUGGAAACGAUAGCUAAUACCGCAUAACAAUGGAUGACCCAUGUCAUUUAUUUGAAAGGGGCAAAUGCUCCACUACAAGAUGGACCUGCGUUGUAUUAGCUAGUAGGUGAGGUAACGGCUCACCUAGGCGACGAUACAUAGCCGACCUGAGAGGGUGAUCGGCCACACUGGGACUGAGACACGGCCCAGACUCCUACGGGAGGCAGCAGUAGGGAAUCUUCGGCAAUGGGGGCAACCCUGACCGAGCAACGCCGCGUGAGUGAAGAAGGUUUUCGGAUCGUAAAGCUCUGUUGUAAGUCAAGAACGAGUGUGAGAGUGGAAAGUUCACACUGUGACGGUAGCUUACCAGAAAGGGACGGCUAACUACGUGCCAGCAGCCGCGGUAAUACGUAGGUCCCGAGCGUUGUCCGGAUUUAUUGGGCGUAAAGCGAGCGCAGGCGGUUUGAUAAGUCUGAAGUUAAAGGCUGUGGCUCAACCAUAGUUCGCUUUGGAAACUGUCAAACUUGAGUGCAGAAGGGGAGAGUGGAAUUCCAUGUGUAGCGGUGAAAUGCGUAGAUAUAUGGAGGAACACCGGUGGCGAAAGCGGCUCUCUGGUCUGUAACUGACGCUGAGGCUCGAAAGCGUGGGGAGCGAACAGGAUUAGAUACCCUGGUAGUCCACGCCGUAAACGAUGAGUGCUAGGUGUUGGAUCCUUUCCGGGAUUCAGUGCCGCAGCUAACGCAUUAAGCACUCCGCCUGGGAGUACGACCGCAAGGUUGAAACUCAAAGGAAUUGACGGGGGCCCGCACAAGCGGUGGAGCAUGUGGUUUAAUUCGAAGCAACGCGAAGAACCUUACCAGGUCUUGACAUCCCGAUGCUAUUUCUAGAGAUAGAAAGUUACUUCGGUACAUCGGUGACAGGUGGUGCAUGGUUGUCGUCAGCUCGUGUCGUGAGAUGUUGGGUUAAGUCCCGCAACGAGCGCAACCCCUAUUGUUAGUUGCCAUCAUUCAGUUGGGCACUCUAGCGAGACUGCCGGUAAUAAACCGGAGGAAGGUGGGGAUGACGUCAAAUCAUCAUGCCCCUUAUGACCUGGGCUACACACGUGCUACAAUGGUUGGUACAACGAGUUGCGAGUCGGUGACGGUAAGCUAAUCUCUUAAAGCCAAUCUCAGUUCGGAUUGUAGGCUGCAACUCGCCUACAUGAAGUCGGAAUCGCUAGUAAUCGCGGAUCAGCACGCCGCGGUGAAUACGUUCCCGGGCCUUGUACACACCGCCCGUCACACCACGAGAGUUUGUAACACCCGAAGUCGGUGAGGUAACCUUUUGGAGCCAGCCGCCUAAGGUGGGAUAGAUGAUUGGGGUGAAGUCGUAACAAGGUA
rnacentral:rRNA from 1 species